rnacentral:rRNA from 1 species
UACGGAGGGGGCUAGCGUUGUUCGGAAUCACUGGGCGUAAAGCGCACGUAGGCGGCUUUCUAAGUCAGGGGUGAAAUCCUGGAGCUCAACUCCAGAACUGCCUUUGAUACUGGGAAGCUCGAGUCCGGAAGAGGUAAGUGGAACUCCGAGUGUAGAGGUGAAAUUCGUAGAUAUUCGGAAGAACACCAGUGGCGAAGGCGGCUUACUGGUCCGGUACUGACGCUGAGG